rnacentral:rRNA from 1 species
UACAGAGGGGGCAACGUUGUUCGGAAUUACUGGGCGUAAAGGGCGCGUAGGCGGCCUGCUAAGUCGAACGUGAAAUCCCUGGGCUCAACCCAGGAACUGCGUCCGAUACUGGUUGGCUUGAAUCCGGGAGAGGGAUGUGGAAUUCCAGGUGUAGCGGUGAAAAUGCGUAGAUAUCUGGAGGAACACCGGUGGCGAAGGCGACAUCCUGGACCGGUAUUGACGCUGAGGCGCGAAAGCCAGGGGAGCAAACGGG